rnacentral:snoRNA from 1 species
CCACAAGAUGAAUGGCACUGGGCUCCGACAGUCCUCGAAAUCGAGACUGCUUUGUGAAAGGAUAUGCCCUUUCGCGGCAGGCCUAGAAAACCUAGCCCACUGAUG